CUACUAUUUUAAAAGCAUGUGACCUUAUAGAUCUAUAAAAUGUGAGAAGUGUUCAACAAUCUUUGAUAUUACACAUAAACCCCACACUAAAAUGCCUUUCAAUAAGUAAAAUGAACCAUUUUAAAUACAGGGAAUUCUAAUUAGAUUGGCAUAGUUAAGGCCAAAAAUAUAAAGUAGACAUUGCUCCCUUAUUUAUCUUCAACCCUUGCGUUUAAGAGGCAAAUGAACACAAAACACAGGUGAAUCUUGCUUUGUUCUGAGACAGUGAAGAAAUUUCCCCAGUAUUUAAAUAUAUUUACAUAAACAGUUAUAUAAAUCUAAAUAAAACCAAUCUCCAAUAAGUUUUAAGAUGGCACUCACCAUCUUUGUGGAAAGUUGAACGUUACUAACGAAGUCUAAUCAUAUCUUUGGAAGGGGUAAACAGUAAUAGCACUUACUGAAUUGGAAUUACUAUUAAAUUCACAAACUGAACAUACUCAUUUAGCCACAAGCCAGUCUUAGUUUUAAAUCAGGACUGCCCAGCAAAAUAUUCUGUCAGUCAUUCAUGAUCUGAAUUCUAGUGUAUGAGAUCUAUUAAAGUAUGGUACAUGUAGAAAAGUCAUGAGACAUUUCUGUUUUGUAGUAAAUAAGGCCUUUGCCCAUUUUUAAAUGAAAUUAUUUUUUCCACUGUUGAUUUGAGUUCCUUGUGUAUUAUGUAUAUUAGUCCCCUGUUUGAGGAGUAAUUUGCAAAUAUUUUCUCCCAUUCAAGAGGUUGUCUCUUUACUCCAUUGGUUAUUUCUUUUGCUGUGCAGAAGCUUUUUAGUUUAAUAUACUUCCAUUUGUGUGUGUGUGUGUGUGUGUGUGUGUGUGUGUGUGUGUGUUUCUUUUUUUUCAGACAGGGUCUCAUUCUGUUGCCCAGGCUGGAGUGCAGUGGUAUGAUCUUGGCUCACUGCAGCCUCUGCCUCCUUGGUUCAAGCGAUCCUCCUACCUCAGCCUCCUGAGUAGCUGGGACUAAAGGUAUGUGCCACAACACUUGGCUAAUUUUUGUACUUUUUUUGGUAGAGAUGGGUUUUUACCAUGUUGCCCAGGCUGGUCUUGAACUCCUGGGAUCAAGCAAUCUGCCCACGUCGGCCUCCCAAAGUGCUGGGAUUACAGGUGUGAGCCACCAUGCCCAGCCUAUUUUUGUUUUUAUUGCCUGUGCUUUUGAGGUCUUAGCCAUAAAAAUCUUUGCCUAGACCAGUAAGUAUCCUGAGGAGUUUUCCCUGUUUUAUUCUAGUGGUUUUAUAGUUUCGGGUCUUACGUUUAAGUAUUUAAUCCAUUUUGAGUAGACUUUUGUACAUGGUGAAAGAUAGGGGUACAGUUUCAUUCUUUUUUUUUUUUUUUUUUUUUUUUUUUACUUCAGGUUAUGUAUCUGAUAGCCAGUUUCAUUCUUCUCAGUAUGGUUAUCCACUUGCCUCAGCACCAUUUAUUGAAAAGGGUGUCAUUUCUCCAAUGUAUGUUCUUGGUGGCUUUGUUGAAGAUCAGUUGGCUAUAAAUAUGUGGAUUUAUUUCUGGGUUCUCUAUUCUAUUAGAUUGGUCUAUUUGUCUAUUUUCAUUCCAACAUCAUGCUGUUUUGGUUACUUGUAGUCUGUUUUGAAGUCAGGUAGUGUGAUACCUCCAGCUUGGUUCUUUUUGCUUAGUAAUGCUUUGGCUAUUUGUGUUCUUUCUUGGUUCCAUACAAAUUUUGGAAUUUUUUUUUCUAUUUCUGUGAAAAAUGAUAUUAGUAUUUUUGAUAAGGAUUGUAUCAAAUCUGUAGAUUACUUUGGGCAGUAUGGUCAUUUUAAUGAUAUGAAUUCUUCCAAUCCAUGGGCACAAAAUGUCUUUCCAUUUAUUCGUAUCCUCUUCGAUUUCUUUCAUAGUGUUUUGUAGUUUUCCUUGUAGAGAUCUUUCACCUCCUUGGUUAAAUUUAUUUCUAGGUAUUUUUUUUUGGUAAUGGGAACUGCCUUCUGGAUUUCUUUUUUGCCUAUUUCAUUAUUGGAGUAUAGAAGUGCUACCAAUUUUUGUGUUUUUGUAUCCUGUAAUUUUACUGAAUUUAUCAGUUCUAGGAGUUUUUUGGUGGCACCUUUUGUUUUUUCUAGAUAUAAAAUUAUGUCGUCUGCAAAGAAGGAUCAUUUGGCUUUCUCUUUUCCAAAUUAGAUGCCUUUUAUUUCUUGUUCUUGUCUGAUUGCUCUGGCUAGGACUUCCAGUACUAUGUUGAAUAGAAGCGGUGAAAGUGGGCAUUCUUGACUUGUUCCAAUUAAUAGAGGAAAGGUUUUCACCAUUCAGUAUGAUGAUAGCUGUAGGUUUGUUCUAAUAUUGCCUUUAUUAUUUUGAGGUAUGAUUCUUCUAUGCCUAAUUUGUUGAGCAUUUUUAAUCCUGAAGCAGUGUUGAAUUUUGUCAAAUCUUUUUUCUGCAUCUAUUGAGAUUAACAUAUGGUUUUGCCCUUCAUUUUGUUGAUGUGGUGUAUCAUGUUUAUUGAUUUGCAUGUGCUGAACCAUCCUUGCAUUCCUAGUAUAAAUUUAAAUUGAUCAUGGUGUAUUAUCUUUUUGAUGUGCUGUUGCACUUAGUUUGCUAGUAUUUUGUUGAGGGUUUUUGCAUCUGUGUUAAUCAGGGAUAUUGGCCUGUACUUUUCUUUUUUUGUUGUGUCCUUGUCUGGUUUUGGCAUCAGAGUAAUACUGGCCUUACAGAAUGAGUAAGAGAUGAUUCCCUCCUUUUCAAGUUUUUGGAAUAGUUUGAGGAGGAUUGUUAUUAAUUUUUCUUUUUGCAUUUGGUAAAAUUCAGCUGUUAUUCCAUCUGGUCCUGGACUUUUCUUUGUUGAGAGGCUUUUUCUUACUGAUUCAAUCUUGCUACCUGUUAUUGGUCUGUUCAGGUUUUUUAUUUCAUCCUGAUUCAAUCUUGGUGGGUUUUGUUUCCAGGAAUUUAUUCAUUUCCUCUACAUAUUCCAGUUGGUUAUCAUAUAGUUAGUUGUUCAUAAUGAUCUCUGAUGAUCUUUUGUAUUUCUGUGGUAUCAGUUGUAAUGUAUCCUUUUUCAUUUCUGACUUUGUUUAUUUGGGUCUUCUCUCUUCUUGGUUAGUCUAGUGGUUUAUAAACUUUAUCUUUUCAAAGAGCAUAUAUAUAUAUUUGCUCUUUGAAAUAUUUGCUCUAUUUCACCACUUCUCUGAUCUUUGUGUUUUUUUCUUCUGUGAAUUUUGGGUUUGUUCUUGCUCUUCCAGUUUCUUGGAGUGUAUCAUUAGAUUGUUUAUUUAAAAUCUUUAUUUUUGUUGAUGUAGGCAUUUAUUGCUAUACACUUCUCUCUUAGCAUUGCUUUUGCUGUGUCCCACAGGUUUUGCAUGUUAUGUUUCUAUUUUCAAUUGUUUCAAGAAAUUUUUGAUUUUCAUCUUAAUGGUCAUUCAAGAGCAUGUUGUUUAAUUUCCAUGUAUUUGUAUAGUUUCCAAGUUCCUUCUGGUAUUGAUUUAUAUAGUUUUAUUCCAUUGUGGUCUGAGAAGAUAUUUGAUAUAAUUUUGAUUUUUGAAAAUUUGUUGAGACAUGCUUUCUGGCCUAACGUAUAGUCAAUCCUGGUGAAUGUACCAUGUCCUGAUGAGAAGAAUGUUUAUUCUGCAGUUGUUGGAUAAAAUGUUCUGUAAAUGUCUAUUAGGUCCAUUUGGUCUAAAGUCCAGUUUAAGUCUAAUGCUUCUCUGGGAGUGGGGAGUUGAAGUCUCCCACUAUUAUUGUAUCAGAGUCUAGCUCUUUCUUUAGAUCUAGUAAUAUUUGACUUAUGAAUCUGGGUGCUCCAGUGUUGGGUGCAUAUGUAUUUAAAAUUAUUGUAUCCUCUUGCUGGAUUUAUCCCUUUCUCAUUACAUAAUGACUGUCUUUGUCUUUUUUUAAAAACUGCUUUUGACUUAAAGUCUGUUUUAUCUGAUAUAAGUAUAACUGCUCCUGCUCACUUUUGAUUUCUGUUUGUGUGGAAUAUCUUUUUCCAACCUUUUACUUUCAGUCUGUAUCUGUCUUUACAGGUAAAGUGUGUUUCUUGUAGGCAGCAUAUAGUUGGUUCACUUUUUAAAAAUUUCUUAAGUCAGUCUACAUCUUUUAAGUGGAGAAUUGAAUCCAUUUACAUUCGAAGUAAUUAUUGAUAUAUGAGGUUUUAUUUGCUUUACUGUUAAUUAUUUUCUGAUUGCUUCCUUUUUUUUUUCUCUCUUAUUGUUUGUCCUUGUGGUUUGCUGUUCUCCUGUGGUGGUACCAUUUGAGUCUUUUCUCUUCCUCAUUUGUGUGUUUGCUUUAUAGUGAGUUUUAUAAGUUUGUGUAUUUUCAUGAUGCUAACUGUCAUCUUUUUGCUUUCGGGUUUCGGACUUUUUUGAGCAUAUAUUGUAAGGUCAGUUCAGUAGUGAUGAAAUCCCUCAGCAUUUGCUUGGGAAAGACUGUAUUUCUCCUUCAUUUAUGAAGAAUAAUUUUGCUGGAUGUAGUACCCUUGGGUAGGAGUAGUUUUUUCUUUCAGCACUUUGAAUAUAUCAUCCUAUUCUCUCCUGGUGUGUAAAGUAUCUGCUGAGAAGUCAACUGUUAGUCCAAUAGGGGCUCCUUUAUAAGUGACCAGAUGCUUUUCUCUGGCUACUUUUAGAAUCUUCUCUGUCAUUGACAGAGAAAGCAGAUCUAGCCUAUCAUUGAAGCUUUCAAGUAUAUUUUAUCUUUCAUUCCAGGAGUUCUCCAGUCCCAGAAUUUCUAUUUAGUCCUUUUUAAUGAUAUUUAUCUCUUUGUUACAUGUCUCAUUCAUAUUCUGAAUUGUUUUUCUUAUUUCUUUGUAUCGUUUUUCAGAAUUCUUUUGUAUCUCACUGAGCUUAUUUAGUAUCACACUUUUGAAUUCUGUUUUCAGAAUUUCAUGAAUUUCUUUUUGAUUGGCAUCUGUUGCUGGGAAAUUAUUGUGUUCUUGAGGUGUCAUAUUUCCUUGCUUUUUCAUGUUUCCUGCAUCCUUAAAUUGAUAUCUGUGCAUCUGCUGUAGUAGUAAUUUCUUUCAAUUUUUAAAAUUUGCUUUCAUAUGGGAGGACUUUUUCCUGAAGAUGUAUCAAUAAUGUUGCUUGGAUAGGGCCCUUUGGGCUUUGAUUCUGGGCGUGUGCAGUAGUGUAGUCUCUGCAUGAUUUCUUUGACUGUAGAUGGCAUGAAUGAUAUCUGUGAUUUCUUUGGUUGUUUAGGGUGCAUUUAUUAGUAGAGGCUGUGAUGAAGUUUUGCUGAGGACAAAGCUGCCAGGUGGGCCAGUCUUCAGGCCUCAGUGGUGGCAGCAGUGGGCUGAGUAUACUUGUUCUUAGCCCCAGGGUGACAUUUGCUAGCACUGGUGUUAGUGGGACCAGGCAGGUCAAUUCUUGAGCCUCCAGGUGGCUCACUCAAAUACUGGCAGUGGCAGUGGUGGGCCAGGAGGGUGAAUGAGUUCUGAGAUACCUAGGCAGCUGGCGUGGUAUGGGUGCUGGCAGUAGCAGUGGGAGGAUGAUUCUCUGGGUCUGAGUAGUGUGCACUGGUGUUGGCAGUGGCUGUGAUAUGAGGUCACCAUCCACAGCCCCAGACAUGUAGCUGACAGGCUUGCCUGCUCUUGGUGGCAGCAGCGCAGCAGCACCGCAGCACCACAUAGAAGUGGGAAGGGACCCUGUCUUUUGCCCAUAAGCCUGGGCAUGAAAGCCACAUUGCCAGUUGGGGCGUGGUUGCCACUCACAGCCCCAGACAGGCAGCCUUUUGUCUUGCCUGUCCUAGCUCCUGGUGGCAGCAGCAGUGGCUACAGCUGCAGCAGUGUGACAAAGGGGAGAGAAGGUCCUGCUGUCUAUGGGCAAGCCUGAGCACAGAGGCUGCUCUGCUGGUGGGGGUGGGGUCACUUCUCUCAGCCCCAGACUGUCAGCUCUCAGGAUUAUCCACCUCGGCUCCUGGUUGCAGCAACUGCUGUGGCAGUAUGUGGAGCGAGCACCUCUGGCUCCCAACUUCUCCUGACUGAGCUGGCCACUCGCUUCCUUCUCCUCUGUGCCUCAGGCGCUUGCUGAGACUUCUCUGUUGGACUCUAGUGCUCUCUCCUGGAUGUUCUAUUCGAGCUCUGCCGCACUAAGCUCUCUACAUGGCCGAGGCACCAGACCAGAAUGCGCCCUUUCGACAGGCAGAGAGAGCCAAAGGGGAAAAGAGCUGAGUCAAGGCUGCCAAGUUCCUGCUUCCAGCCCUACCAGCCGGUCACUCGCGCCUUGCAAUGAGGAAACCAGGAGUCCUAUCUAGGAAUUGGUGGUGUCUUGGAAUAUCUGCUUCAGGACGAUAAUGAAACUAAUGAUUUAGGGCAGUAGAAGAAGCCGUGGGAGGAACUUUCACAUUUGGCGAGCAUGGAAUCCCCUCUGCAGUUAUGUUUGCCUGUGCAUCUCCGGCAGCUGGAGGACGAAUCACAUCAGGCUGAUGAGUGUGUCACGCUCUUCAUCCCCCAAGAGCUGUGAUGAAGACCAAGACAAACAGUAGAUUAACAGUGCUACCUUUUAUAAGGCUGAUUAGUUCCUAAAAUAUGCUGAAAGGAAACAAAACCAAAAAGAAAAAAGAGUGGAAAGGGGGGUGAGACAGAAACCUUUGUCGAGUCUCAUUCCAUCACCCAGGCUGGAGUGCAGCGGCGUGAUCUUGGCAACCUCCACCUCCCAGGCUCAAGAAAUCCUCCCACCUCAGCCUCCCAAUAGCUGGAUCUACAGGCGUACACCACCACAAUCAGCUGUAUUUUUUGUAGAGACUGGGUUUCGCCAUGUUGCCCAGGGUGGUCAUGAACUUGUGAGCUCAAGUGAUCUGCCCGCCUCAGCCUCCCAAAGUGCUGGGAUUACAGGCAUGAGCCACCGCCCCUGGCCUAAUAAAAUUUAUUUUUAAAAAAGGACCUAUGGCGAAUCAUUUUUACAAAUAAAAUCUAUAGUCAAGGUGCAGUAUGGGAACAGCAUUUUACUGAGUAAUCUUGCAAAGAAUAUGUCAUUAACCACUACACUAAUCUUGUUCUUGAUGUACACCAGCAACAAAUACAAAGAAAAAUUUAGUCUCUUACUUUAACAGGUUCCAAGUAUGCCACAUCGUAUUUUUUGCCAAAUAAUUUAUUAGUAAGAGGAGAUGACUCUAGUAAGUUAUAGAAGUUAUAUUGAAUUUUUAAAAAAAAUUUUUCAAAACUAUUCUGUGGGGAUUGAGGACAGAUGAACUACAAAGGAACAUGAUGGAACUUUCUGGGGUGAGCAUAAUGUUCUAUAUGAUGAUAGGGGCUUGGGUUACAUAAGUGAGCAUUUAUGAAAACUGUACACUUUUUGUGCAUUUCAUUGUGUAUAAAGUUUACUUCAAAAAAAACAUUGAACUCCAAUUAAUUACAUGCAUGCUGAACUAUUUAGAGUGAAGUAUACUGAUGCCUGUUGUUUACUUUGAAGUAUUUCAAAACAGUAAAAUGGAUAGAGGAAUGUGUAAUAAAUUGGUACACGAUAAGGAAAAUAUAGUCAAUUAUGUUAAUAGUAAAAUCUAGAUGGUGAGUAAACUGGUG
rnacentral:lncRNA from 10 species